UACGGAGGAUGCGAGCGUUAUCCGGAUUUAUUGGGUUUAAAGGGUGCGUAGGCGGCUUUUUAAGUCAGUGGUGAAAUCCUGUCGCUCAACGAUAGAAUUGCCAUUGAUACUGAAGAGCUUGAGUUCAGUUGAGGUAAGCGGAAUGUGUAGUGUAGCGGUGAAAUGCUUAGAUAUUACACAGAACACCGAUUGCGAAGGCAGCUUACUAAACUGACACUGACGCUGAUGCACGAAAGCGUGGGGAUCGAAC
rnacentral:rRNA from 1 species